CAGGAGGGGAGAGAUGUCCCUGGGCAGGGCCCAGCCUGAGUCCGCGUGGAAUUGUGAACCCCGACAGAGCCAGCCUUUCCUGUUGGCGACUCAGGCAGAGGUCACUGUGGCCCAUCUUCCACCCCGUGGCCAGAAGGACCCGUUAAAACCCGUUAAAAGUGGGAUCAUGAUGCCUCCUCGCUGAAGCCUCCAGCGGUUCCCAUGUCACUCAGGAUAAAAGAAGCAGCGACAGUUCAGACGCUGGAACCUUCUACAGGAGAAUGACAGACCUUGUUAGCCACUACCAGCUUCAGAAUCAGCUAACUCAGCACAAAGCAAGGAUCCCUGACUGGGAAGGAUCCAGGAAAGAGAGAUCAGAGUGACCUCACCAGAAACGUGGACACUUGGAAGGACACCAGAGACACAGAGAAGAGGAGGCUGGAGGUCCUCAAGGCACCCAGCUCCUGGCCCCGGAUGUGCAGGACUCUUUCUAGAAAGGCUCCCUCCCAGCCGUGGGACUUGACCAUCUUCAUGUUCCUGAUGACGCAGCUGCACUGUUCUAGAAGCUGAGACUGCAUCAGUGCAUAUUCCCUGCUGCCGGGAAGCUUUCAGUCCGAAGAGAGAGAGGAGCCAGGUGCAUCUGGCAAACGGGCAGGCCAAGUUGCCGAACAGCAAUCGCGCCACCCAGUGGCCAAGUGGAGAAGUGCCCAGAAGGCAAACCAGCCCACCGCCAGGAUUGGGAAAAUACUCAAAGAAAGGUGAAAGGAAGGUUAAGCUUUCUCUGGCAAAAAUAGUAUCAUUUGGAGAAAAAUGCUACAGAUGCUAACUGUGGCAACUUCAAUG